ACGAACGCUGGCGGCACGCUUAACACAUGCAAGUCGAACGAGAGAAGAGAAGCUUGCUUUUCUGAUCUAGUGGCGGACGGGUGAGUAACACGUGAGCAAUCUGCCUUUCAGAGGGGGAUACCGAUUGGAAACGAUCGUUAAUACCGCAUAACAUAAUUGAACCGCAUGAUUUGAUUAUCAGAGAUUUAUCGCUGAAAGAUGAGCUCGCGUCUGAUUAGCUAGUUGGUAAGGUAACGGCUUACCAAGGCGACGAUCAGUAGCCGGACUGAGAGGUUGAUCGGCCACAUUGGGACUGAGACACGGCCCAGACUCCUACGGGAGGCAGCAGUGGGGAAUAUUGCACAAUGGAGGAAACUCUGAUGCAGCGAUGCCGCGUGAGGGAAGAAGGUUUUAGGAUUGUAAACCUCUGUCUUCAGGGACGAAAAAAGACGGUACCUGAGGAGGAAGCUCCGGCUAACUACGUGCCAGCAGCCGCGGUAAUACGUAGGGAGCGAGCGUUGUCCGGAAUUACUGGGUGUAAAGGGAGCGUAGGCGGGAUCGCAAGUCAGAUGUGAAAACUAUGGGCUUAACCCAUAAACUGCAUUUGAAACUGUGGUUCUUGAGUGAAGUAGAGGUAAGCGGAAUUCCUAGUGUAGCGGUGAAAUGCGUAGAUAUUAGGAGGAACAUCAGUGGCGAAGGCGGCUUACUGGGCUUUAACUGACGCUGAGGCUCGAAAGCGUGGGGAGCAAACAGGAUUAGAUACCCUGGUAGUCCACGCCGUAAACGAUGAUUACUAGGUGUGGGGGGACUGACCCCUUCCGUGCCGCAGCAAACGCAAUAAGUAAUCCACCUGGGGAGUACGACCGCAAGGUUGAAACUCAAAGGAAUUGACGGGGGCCCGCACAAGCAGUGGAGUAUGUGGAUUAAUUCGAAGCAACGCGAAGAACCUUACCAGGUCUUGACAUCGUAUGCAUAGCUCAGAGAUGAGUGAAAUCUCUUCGGAGACAUAUAGACAGGUGGUGCAUGGUUGUCGUCAGCUCGUGUCGUGAGAUGUUGGGUUAAGUCCCGCAACGAGCGCAACCCUUACUGUUAGUUGCUACGCAAGAGCACUCUAGCAGGACUGCCGUUGACAAAACGGAGGAAGGUGGGGAUGACGUCAAAUCAUCAUGCCCCUUAUGACCUGGGCCUCACACGUACUACAAUGGCUGUCAACAGAGGGAUGCAAAGCCGCGAGGUGGAGCGAACCCCUAAAAGCAGUCUUAGUUCGGAUUGUAGGCUGCAACCCGCCUACAUGAAGUCGGAAUUGCUAGUAAUCGCAGAUCAGCAUGCUGCGGUGAAUACGUUCCCGGGCCUUGUACACACCGCCCGUCACGCCAUGGGAGUCGGUAACACCCGAAGCCUGUAGUCUAACCGCAAGGAGGACGCAGUCGAAGGUGGGAUUGAUGACUGGGGUG
rnacentral:rRNA from 1 species